UACGUAGGUGGCAAGCGUUGUCCGGAUUUACUGGGCGUAAAGGGCGCGUAGGCGGUUCGGUAAGUCCCGUGUGAAAUCCCUCGGCUCAACUGAGGAACUGCGCGGGAGACUGCCGGGCUUGAGUUUGGGAGAGGGACGCGGAAUUCCAGGUGUAGCGGUGAAAUGCGUAGAUAUCUGGAGGAACACCGGUGGCGAAGGCGGCAUCCUGGACCGGCAUUGACGCUGAGGCGCGAAAGCCAGGGGAGCAAACGGG
rnacentral:rRNA from 1 species